UUAAGGUUGCCAGAGCUCAACGAGGGAGAGGAUGUUAGGGUCGGCAACGCGCAUGUAACUCCUCUGGAGUUGCAGGCGUACAUAGACUACGGAGACUGCUUAACAGCAGGCGGGCCGUAUGCUUGUUUGCCACCGACGUAGUAUUAAAAAAAGGUAGUAAAGGAAAGCAGGCUUAGAUGGUACGGCCACAUUAUGAGACGAGAUGAUCAUUUCUCAGUUAAAUCCGUCCUAAAUAUCCCCACUAAAUCCUUGGGAAGAGGAAGACCUCCCGACACAUGGUGGUCCAAUAUCAAGCGGGAGAUGAAAGCCCAGAACCUUACCCCUAUGACAACCC